AGAUUAGCUUGCUUUAGUUGUCAGCUAAGUGGCGCACGGGUGAGUAAUGUAUAGAUAACCUGCCCUUAAGAAAGGAAUAACAGUUGGAAACGACUGCUAAUGCCCUAUAUGCCUUUAAUACAUAAGUAUGCAAGGGAAACGCUUUAGUGCUUAAGGAUGGGUCUGUAUGGUAUCAGCUUGUUGGUGAGGUAAUGGCUCACCAAGGCUAUGACGCCUAACUGGUUUGAGAGGAUGAUCAGUCACACUGGAACUGAGGCACGGUCCAGACUCCUACGGGAGGCAGCAGUGGGGAAUAUUGCACAAUGGACGAAAGUCUGAUGCAGCAACGCCGCGUGGAGGAUGACACAUUUCGGUGCGUAAACUCCUUUUAUAUAGGAAGAUAAUGACGGUACUAUAUGAAUAAGCACCGGCUAACUCCGUGCCAGCAGCCGCGGUAAUACGGAGGGUGCAAGCGUUACUCGGAAUCACUGGGCGUAAAGAGCGUGUAGGCGGGUAUAUAAGUCAGAAGUGAAAUCCUAUAGCUUAACUAUAGAACUGCUUUUGAAACUGUAUACCUAGAAUGUGGGAGAGGUAGAUGGAAUUUCUGGUGUAGGGGUAAAAU
rnacentral:rRNA from 1 species